CUCAGAUCGUGGAUGAGGCGGUGGCCAGAUCCGCCUUAACAGAUGUCUGCGCCCGCUUUUCUCUGAGCUCUCUUAAAGCGUUUUCAUCCGUUUCUUUCCUCCCGCAUCUAACUUUCACUGCUCGAUUUUCAGGAUGGAUACAAAUUCACCUUUAGAGACUACUGAUGGCUUCAAUGAAGAAGUUAGGGAGACUCUAGCUGAAAAAGUGGACUUAAAUACAUUUAAAAGCGAAGAAGCUCCACAUAAUGAAAUGAAAGUUCUUUCAGACGAGGGCUAUGCGAGUCCCCCAGUGCCUUUGUCUGAGGCUAGUGAGGAGGAGGCGCAAUAUACAUUGAAAGAGUCUAAUUUAGUAGAUUCUUCAUUGCCAGUAAAUGAAUUAGAUGAAGCUGAGAGAAAAACAUCUGAUUAUUGCAUUGAAAGAGUGGGAAGCCGUGAUGAGGAUUAUGAGAAAGAGAAACAUGAGGAUGAUCUUGAUGCUGAUACAGAUGUUAAAGACUAUGUAGAAGAUGGAGAUUUCAAUCACCAUCAUAAAAGUUUUUCGGAUGAAGGAGACAAUGACCACUAUGAUUCAAUCGGUAGGGAGUAUUAUGAAAAGCCUACCACACAGUCUUCUACCCUCAAUGAUGCCACAAAUGCCAACUAUGACCAAGUCUCUGUUGACCUUCAGAAUGAGCGAAUUGAAGCUAAUGAGGAACUAGAUGAUGAGAACUUGAACCUGAACUCUGUGCGACAAAGUCAAAUGAGAGGAGGUGAUUACUCUUCCGAGAUGGAAACACUUGAAAAUGGAAGAAUGGUAUGGGAAAACUCUAGCCUGCAAUCUACUCAAGAAACUCGAAAUGCUUCAAUAUCUCCUGAGAGACAAUUAUCUAUUUCUGCAGAACGGUCUCCUCAUAGCCAAUUACCUCCCAAAGGCCAUACUUCUCCCAAGCAAGACAUGCCAUCCCCUUCAAAUUUUGACUUGAAAUCAGCACCUUCUCCACAAUCAUCAAGAAGAAAACAUUCUUCAUCCCCUGGAAAAGGAAACUUGGGUCACAAGAGAACUUCUCGAGACCAUUUAUCUCCUUCCAAGAGGCCAAAAUCUCCUUCUGAAAGGGUAUCAAAGAGAGAAUCUCACAAUAGGAUUGAUUCUCCAAGGAGACGGUUAUCACGAUCCCCUCGUAAGCAUGACUCUCCACGAAGGAGAGGAAGAUCAGUGUCAAAAUCACCUAUGAGGAGAAGGGGUUCUCCUGGACACCAAAGAGACCGGCAGCGCAGUCGAUCAAGAUCUCCAAUUUCAAGGAAUCGCAAAAUAAGAUCACCAAGGGGUCAGUCUCCAAGGCGUAGAUCCCCUCCUAACUACAGGUCUCGUCAACGCUCAUCAAGGAGGCCAUGGUCCCCUCCUGCUAAUCGCAACACAGGAAUUGGUCGGCCUGGUAAAAAUUUAUUUAUUGCAGGUUUUAGUUAUGUGACUACAGAAAGAGAUCUGGAGAGGAAGUUCUCCAAGUUUGGCCGUGUCACUGAUGUUCGCAUUGUCCGGGAUAAACUAACAGGUGAUUCCCGUGGCUUCGGAUUUCUAUCCUUGGAAAAGGAUGAACACGCUGAUGCAGCAAUACGUGCUGUGGACCAGACUGAGUGGAAUGGUAGGAUUCUCCUGGUGGAGAAAUCCAAGUCCUCUUCGCGCUGAAGCCUUUUCUUGUAUUUUGCUCAGAGAAUGAGGGAUUACCAUCCAAUCUCAGUACCUGUAGUUCUUCCAAAUAUAUGGCACCGAUAAAGAUUUUAUGGCAAGAAAUUGCAUGAAAUCCUCUUUGAUGCUUCACCUGCAGAUUGAAACAAAAGACACUCUGUACCCUCUUUUGAAUGUUUUGGAACCUCUAAAUUAGCGAUGGCAAAAUACUCAUUGACUGAACCAGCUUCUUCCUAAUUAGUCCCUGUGGAGUUCCCUACUACUACUAAACUAAAAAGGUUCAAGUUUUCAGCUUGGAUUAAGCUUGCCAGAGCAGUUUAUGGUGAAGAAAUACAUUUAGUUGCAUCUUUUAGUUCAUAAAUUUUUCAAAUUAAUAUCACCUUCCCUAGAAACUUUCUUUUGUUCCUGCAGGCAAUUAUUUAGCUUGCAUAGAACCACAAGACUGUACCUUUUGCUCAUUUCUGCCACAUUAGGGAGAUGAUUGCAGCUUCUCGAACUUUUUCCCAUCGUUAGGCUUCAUGUUCAGGCUGAGUGACACAGGCUUAUCAAGCUUACUAUUCCUUUUUGAAGCCAAUGGAUGAAUGAGUAAUAUCUGCUGAAAUUCAUUUCAUAAUUUGUUUUCUUGGAGCAUAUGGUACAUUUUUUAUGAUAUUGGUCAAGUAUUGUGAAA